CCGGCCCGGGGCUUGUUUAUUCCAUUUUCCUCUUCCUGAGCGGACGCCCCGCCACGCAUGCGCGGGAGAAGGGCGUUCUGGACUCAAAGAAAGUGUACCAUGUUACCAAUUUUCUUCGCUUGUAUUCCACCAGACAAGACAGGAGAGAGGCUGACUUGGCCACACUUCCGGCUUUAAAAUUAUGAAUUUGGUAACAAGUCUUCUGGAUGUGGGGAAGCAGUAGAUGUGAAGUAUCUUGACUUCAGUAAGGUUCUUGAUCCUGUCUCACUUGACCUUCUCAUAAGCAAACUGGAGUAAAAGCCUAGACCAGUAUUUCUCAAAUGCGGCCACAGUGGCCACAUGUGGCCACCAGGGACUUUUCUUACAGCCUCAGGCUCCUGGGUGGUGAUUGUGAGGUGCGGGGGGGAAGCAGCGGCCUCUCCCCUGGAGCCACCAGUGGGGGUUGGUCCCUGCCCCCUUCUGGAGCCACAAACACUGUAGGAGCAGGUGACCACUGUGAGCUCCCCACCUUCCUAGGGGCAGUGGGGCUUGGAUUUCGGGCUUCAGCCCUGGGGUGGUGGGCAGCAGGAUCUGGCCAUGCGACAGUUGGCUUCAUCCCCCAGCCCCAGGGCUUUGGGCCCUGGGCUCAUUCCCACCACAUCAUCCCUGGUCCCUGCUGCAUCUUCCAUCCCUCAGUUGUGCAGCAGGACCCCAGGAUCCAGCCCCAGACUCAUCCCCCACAUCCCCCGCUACCUCUUCCAGCCCCUCAUUGCCCCGGCCCUCCUUACCUACUUUCCCAUCCAGGGUUUAAUUUGUCUCCCAGCUUGCCAGGGAUGAGUAAGUCUGCUGUGAAAAGUGAUAUUAACAAAUAUCACUUUUCACCGUAGCAGACUUACUAGCUAGCAAAUUUUUUUAAAAAAUCAACCAAGAAGAGCAAAACACGCAAAGCACCUUAUUUGUGUUUCUAUUCUGUUUACAUCCAAUAAAGAUUAAAGACAACUGUACAUUCUUUUUAUUAUUGAAUCUGUAAAAAACCCCUACAUAAAUAAAUUGCUAUGA